CACUUUUUCUUACAUUACUGGUCUGGAUAGAAGCAGGAUCUCAAGUAUUUUUCUCCUACAGCCUGACUGAAGGGAGUCUGCUUGUCCUGGCGAGCUAUAAUGAGUACAACAACAACUGUUAUAAGGACUGCUUCUGGCUCUGUCUGCUGAACAGUGGGACCAGUUUUGUUGCUGGAUUUGUCGUCUUCUCUGUACUUGGAUUCAUGGCUCAGAAACAGGGUGUUACCGUUGACACUGUGGUUGAGUCAGGUCCAGGUUUGGCCUUCAUUGCUUACCCUCAGGCAAUAGCUAUGAUGCCUUUGCCACAGCUUUGGUCUGUGUGCUUCUUCCUGAUGCUUAUUCUGCUGACUGUUGACACACAAUUUGUGAUGGUCGAAAGUUUUAUCACUUCAAUAAGCGACUUGUUUCCGAAGCUGUUUUGCAAACCAGGAAGACAUGAGAUGGUUGCCCUUUUCAUCUGUUUAUCCUACUUCCUCAUAAGUCUGACGUUGGUCACUGAGGUGAAUGAAAUAUUUCCAUGAGGGUGCUGAUCGUGUAAUUAACAUCAUUGAGGACAUGACAGGACAGAGACCAUCUGCUUUCUUCAAACUGUGCUGGAAAUACAUCAUUCCUCUGCUGUCACUGAUUUCCCUUAUCCUGUACCUGGUUGAUUACAAACACAUCAGGAUUAAUGACUGAUACAUUUACCCUGACUGGGCGUACGCACUAGGAUGGACCAUUACACUCUCCUCUGUUCUCAUGGUGCCACUGUGGGCAACUGGACAGAUGUGUUCAACAGCAGGAACCAUCAGACAGCGUUUGUCUGUCCUUUGUCGUCCUGUUGAAGAUCCAGCCUGGCAGAGGAGAGAAAUGGGAGAGGAGGGAACAACUGUUGAACUGAGGACGUCUGCAGUGACAACUUAGUGUGACCUGUAAAGUCACAAUAACUGGACGGUUCAAUUUAUCAUUCGGUCAUUUAUCAAUUAGCUAAAAACUUUGGUUUGGGGCAUUUCACUGGUCUUUUUUGUCAGAAAUAGUAUAAUUUUAACUGUCUAACAGUAGCCAGUCAGUCAUCCCAGUUAUCAUUAAGUCAAGUAUUAUUAGUAUCAGUUUUUCAGUGUCCAGAAAAUGUGAAAAUUCUGAUCUCAUGAUUUACUUUCAUUACCAUCACAUAUCAAUCAAAUUUCAUUGUGUGCAUAUUGUAA